CAGGUCCUCAGGCCAGCUGUGGGGAGGGCAGAGGGAGAGGUGAAGAAGAUGGGGAGUGUAGACACUGAUGGAGCCUUGAGAAGGGGUGGUGCCCUUGCUCCGUGGUAGGUGGGAAACCAGGCAGCUUUGUUGGAUCUGAGAGCAGAGGGCCUCUGAGCUUGAGGGGAGAGUCUAGUGGCAAACCAGCUACAGGACGGGUCUGGGCAGAAAGGGCCUUAGUCUUAUAGAGUGAGCUUCCAGUCUCCUGGCCUGGCACGGAGAGAUGUGGGAUACACAGACGCAGGCCUUGUAGCAGAAGUGGUCGGUGUCCCCUGGUCCCUGUAGCUCUUGGGCUGUACCUUCUCCUUGCCUGCUGGUCUACCAGCUGCCAGCCCCUGCGUCUCCUUGCCAGAGGGAUUCCCCUGGUUGCUCUGCGCAUGCACAAUGGUAGGCCAGUGUGCUUGGAAAAUGAGACCACAGCAGCCCUGAUGUCAGCACUGAUCGAGCUGAUGGAUCAAUACCCCAGCUCUCUCGCCCCUCACAUGUACUCAUUCUCCACUUUCUCAGAGUUCCUGGCAAGACUGAAUGCCACUUGCCCACCGGGUACUGUGAUAACACGCUCUGUGGCAGCUUCUUUCCCUUCCCUGUCUCACUGCUGUAUCCCCUACUACUGUGGGUAUCACCUCCAAAUAAACGAUCGACCUGAUUUUGGAGGAACUCAAAACCAAUACAAACUCAAAAGAGGCCCUUGGGAGGGAGCGAAGAAUGAUGCAGCAGGAAGCCUCAGGGCCUGACAUGGGUGUGGAACUCUCCCAGGGGACUCGGCACAGGCAGAUGAUGCUUCUUCCCUGAGUCUGUGUCUCAUAAGCCUUCUCCUUCCUCUCCGUACAAAAACACAGCAGGACAACUAGGAAGAAAGGGAAUGGGGGCUUGUGCUUUAAAUUAAAUCGAUUUGUUGAAAGAGGGGAAUUGCAUGUUCUUUUCAUCUGCCUUUGUGGGUGCCUCCUCCAGCUGUGGCCUUUACCUGCUCCCCUCUCCAUCUGAGCUGCCUGAAGGCAGGGAAUCGGCCUUGCUCGGCUUGUGGCGGCUCAUCCCCUGGUGUCUCCCAUGAGGGACACUUGAGCCCGAUUCAGUCCACUGGGGAGUGUGCCAGGAAGUGCCGAUGGCCCUAAAGAGCGCAGAGCAGCCCCCAGCUGAUGGCCAGUAGGGAGGUGGGGACCUCAGCCUGAUAGGUGCAAGGGACUGAACUCUGCCAACAACUGAGUGAGCCUGGGAGUGGAUUCAUCCUGGGUCUCCAGUUGAGAACCCAAGUUGGCCGACACCUUGACUUUGGCCUCAGGAGACUUGGAGCAGAAGAACCAAUUGAGCCUACCUGAAAUUGUGACUUGAGAUAAUAAAUUUGGGUUGUUUUAAGCAACUACGUUUGGAGUCAUUUGUUACAGCAGCAAUAAGAAACUAAUACAGAGAUUAUAACAACCCUGUGACGGCUACUUUGAGUGGCAGCUCUGGCUGAAAUGUUGAAAGGCAACCUCUACAGCAUGGCCCUUUGUGCUUUGGUCCAUCCUGCAGGUUACAUGUGCACUUCCUAUGCAGGGGGCUUGUUAAGGAUAAUAAGUGAAUGAAGAAAGCUGCAGGCUCCUUUGGGUCUGAAGAAGGGAGACCUGGAUAUGGAUCUGGGGUGGCUUUAGCUGGUUUUGGUAUGAUGUGCGGGUGACCUCUGAAUCACAGAGUUUGACGAUCGUUUUCUGACUUCAUUUCUUCAGGGCUUUUGGCAGAGAGAGCCCUGGAAUCUGCCAAGAAGGCUGGUUAUGUGGGCAGAAGCAGCGGUCCAGGGACAAGACUUGACAGCACCCCGGCCAGUUCAUCUCUCUAUCCAGUUUAUUCCCUGAGACGGUCUGACCCACAGCCGACACUCCGAAAUGGAAAAGACCUUCCAGGCAGUCAGCAUUUGAGCACAUUUCCCGCCUGCGGCCUGUACUGACCUCAGCUCAAGUCAAAACUCACAGGAACGCUAGACUUGGAUGAUCCGGGACAUGGAAACUUUCAAUCCUGAAGUGUGCCCCCUCCUCACUGAGACUGGGGCUCCCCGAACUCUUAGAGUGAGAUUGGGCCUGAGCCUGGGGGUGGGGCGUGGGCUACCUCAGUGUUUCUCCUCUUUCUCUUCUUUGCCAGCGGGAGAAAGGCCCGUGGGACUUGUUCUAUAUGGCUGAUUGUGCUUCUUUUUGCCUGCUUGAGUUAAUGGAGAAAAGCCAUACAUGGAUGUCUGCUGGACUAGUUAUGUUUUCCUUGCAAAUACAAAUCUAAAUUGCUCUAGCACAGACAGCUUUAAUGCCUGAGUAAACGCUUGACCUUUGUUGUUGCCCCUGACACUGAUGGGCUGUGAUGCUGAUGGGAGCCUGGAGCCUAAGGUGGUCCAGAUCUUUUGGGUCACAGAAGAGGGUAGAAAAGCAAGGUGCAUCCUGGGAGACAACGGAGGUUUCACCAUGAAACAGAUUUUGGCCUUUUGUUGGACUUGACCUUCCCCCCUUUCCUUUUUGACCAGGAGUGGGUCAUGGGGUGGUGCUUGCAUCCAGGACCAUCAGGUGUAUUACCAGCAUAGUGUGGAGAAUGGGUGUUGCGGGAAACCAGCGAUCUGCCGGGGCUGGCUUUCCCAGCCUUGCAUAAAGGGCUGAGCCGCGGUGUACAGCGCAGGCGGGGGCGGGGGUGCUGAGCAGCGCAGGACAAAGGCGCAUGUCAGCAAGUCCUCCAUCCGGCGGUCCGGGGGACUUGGCAGACCAGCCAGAGUUUCCUGGCAUUUGGUUCUGGAGUAGAGGCGGAAACUGAGGCCCAGGGAGACAAUGAAAUGAGCACAUGUCGUGCCGCCAGGACCCCGGGGGAGCUGGGAUUUGAACCCAUGUUCUUCUCGCGUCUCUCUGCAUCUGCGCAGACUGAGCGUGGGAGGGAGGGCUUUGGCUUUGUGCCCUGGGAUCUGAAGCUGAGCAUCUUCUGAGGAGGAGCCUUGAUGGGAGCGGGGAGAGGGAGGGGGCUGGAGCCAAAGCAGCACUAAGGGAGAUGGGGGUGGAACUAGCUUCUUCCCAGAAGCCCACUGGGGCUCUGGAACCAAUGAAGUCUUAGAAUGAGCAGCUUGGCGGCCGCGGGCUUGGGGGUGAUUGCCCCACCCCAACCCCGCCGUCCCCAGGAGCCCAAACUACACCCAUGGAUGAAGCGGCUUUCGUCUUCAUCCAGCGUUCGCCCCAUGCCAGGCCCAGGUUGUGGGGCUGAGGACAGAGACGAACAAGAUGCAGCCUUUACAUUAGAUUCUCAGGUCAUUACCUCCUGUAUUUGAUGGGGAGGGGUAAAAAGAAGGUUGGUGUAAAAGCCGCUGCUAUUGCAGCGCUUUGGCACCUUGGGAGAAUUCCACACGGAGGAUAAAACGCUACUGCUAUUAGGAGAGACCCCUGUAAUGGGCCUGUGGGACUGAGAAAGGCUGGACGAGGAGGUUUGGACAAAGAAUUCAGUUGUGCUACGUGCAAGGAGUUAUGGACUUACCUUGCUGAGACCUUGAGAAGGAGUUUGCGGUCCGAGAAUAAAUAGGAGUGAAGAGCUCCGCCACGCCCCUGCCCCAGUUAUAUCCUUAUAUCUUAUCUUGCUAGGAUCUGUGGAGGGUGUGAGGCAGGCAGUGGUUAACGAGAUCUGGCAAAACUGAGGCCUAGAAACUUCCGCUCUAGAGUUGUGUCCCACCGGUGCAGUAGUUAU